rnacentral:lncRNA from 1 species
CGUUUCUCUGUGAUGAAUACUCUUAUGCGUGUUUGUGCUGUAUUUAUGUCACGUAGUGUUCAUUUCAGCGAUUUUUUGUUAACUUUAUCAUCAAGCGGGAGGUUUUGCUAUCAAUUUAAUGAGGUUCAACCAACCAUUUUUUCUAAAAUGUCCUUGUACCAAGUCAGAAAUAUUGCAGUUGUUAUCAAAUAGUUCGUUUCUUGUAUGUUAGUAUUUCUUUUUGUUGCACUUCAGAGGUCCUGUUGUUUUUAUCUCUUAUAGUUGAUGUGUUUCCCUAGGUUUUAGUUUAUAACGCGGGUUGGUUGUCUUUCAGUCGAUUUAUGACUUUUGAACACCAGUAUAGUACUGUUGCCUUUAUUUAUUUGUCUAAAAUCAUCACAUGUCAUUGUUUAAUGUUUAUAUAGGUAUAGUUAGUUACUUACCGCUUCCCAUGAUAGGUACAGUACUUUUUAUAAAAGCAAAAAUGUUCUGUAUCGUAUACUAUUUCAUUCUUACUUCUUAAACAACUUUGGACUUUUUAUUUAAGAUACUCUAUCUGAUCUGGUUCAUGCGCACGAAAUCAUGUAUUGGUCCUGUUCGAAAAGCAAUAUUAACUCUUUAUUUAUAUCGACAGUGGAACGUUUUCAGUAUUGCAUAUGCUGAUUUAUCUGUAUGAGGGCUGAUUUGCUCAUAUCAUUUAAUUAUAAUUUAUAUGAAAGGUGGUAUGUGAAUACAGCAUGGGAUCGCAGCCCAUUAACACAAACCAAACAAAUAAGAACCAUACCGUAUGCCAAGUCCUAUAUUCUAUAACAACCUAAGACUUAACAUUGUAAAGUUGUACUGUCUUCUUUUCCGAGAAAUGUCUAAUAAACAAGUAAGCAAUCCACUAAAGAGAAGAAUUGACUAAAUUC